rnacentral:rRNA from 1 species
AUUGAACGCUGGCGGCAUGCCUUACACAUGCAAGUCGAACGGUAACGGGCCUUCGGGUGCCGACGAGUGGCGAACGGGUGAGUAAUACAUCGGAACGUGCCCGAUCGUGGGGGAUAACGAGGCGAAAGCUUUGCUAAUACCGCAUACGAUCUACGGAUGAAAGCCGGGGACCGCAAGGCCUUGCGCGGACGGAGCGGCCGAUGGCAGAUUAGGUAGUUGGUGGGAUAAAAGCUUACCAAGCCGACGAUCUGUAGCUGGUCUGAGAGGAUGAUCAGCCACACUGGGACUGAGACACGGCCCAGACUCCUACGGGAGGCAGCAGUGGGGAAUUUUGGACCAUGGGCGCAAGCCUGAUCCAGCCAUGCCGCGUGCAGGAUGAAGGCCUUCGGGUUGUAAACUGCUUUUGUACGGAACGAAAAGCCUUCUUUUAAUACAGGAGGGUCAUGACGGUACCGUAAGAAUAAGCACCGGCUAACUACGUG